rnacentral:misc_RNA from 1 species
AACGGUCUAUACCUGCGGUACCUGCGGAAGGAUCAUUACUGAGUGAGGGCCCUCUGGGUCCAACCUCCCACCCGUGUUUAACGAACCUUGUUGCUUCGGCGGGCCCGCCUCACGGCCGCCGGGGGGCAUCCGCCCCCGGGCCCGCGCCCGCCGAAGACACCUGUGAACUCUGUCUGAAGUUGCAGUCUGAGAAACUAUUUAAAUUAGUUAAAACUUUCAACAACGGAUCUCUAGAUCGGA